GUAGAAGUAAGUGAAUAAGGGCGCACGGGGGAUGCCUAGGCUCUCAGAGGCGAAGAAGGACGUGAUAAGCUGCGAAAAGCUACGGGGAUUGGCCAAUGCGAUUUGAUCCGUAGAUAUCCGAAUGGGGCAACCCCCCCGAUUUAUCGGGGAUCUCGAAAGAGAGGCGAACGUGGGGAACUGAAACAUCUAAGUACCCAUAGGAGGAGAAAAUAAUAAUGAUUCCGUAAGUAGUGGCGAGCGAAAGCGGAGGAGCCCAAACCGGUUAUGUUACGGCAUGACCGGGGUUGUAGGACCUGCAUAAAGAUUUACAAACCGACGAGAACGGCAUGGGAAGGCCGACGAUAGAGGGUGAGAGUCCCGUAUUGGAAGGGUUGUGAAUUGGGCGGGUAUCCUGAGUAGGGCGGGACCGGAGGAAUCCCGUUUGAAACUGCCGGCACCAUCCGGUAAGGCUAAAUACUCCUGAGAGACCGAUAGUGAACUAGUACCGUGAGGGAAAGGUGAAAAGUACUCCGAAUAGGAGGGUGAAAUAGAACCUGAAACCGUGCGCUUACAAGCGGUCGGAGCCCUUUAGUGGGGUGACGGCGUGCCUUUUGCAUAAUGAGCCUACGAGUUACUCCUCUCCGGCAAGGGUAAGGUAUUAAGUACUGUACCCGGAGCGAAAGCGAGUCUGAAAGGGCGAUGUAGUCGGAGGGGGUAGACGCGAAACUUAGUGAUCUACCCAUGGCCAGGUUGAAGGUUGGGUAAAACCAACUGGAGGACCGAACUGAUAAGCGUUGAAAAGCUUCCGGAUGAGCUGUGGGUAGGGGUGAAAGGCUAAUCAAACUGAGAAAUAGCUCGUACUCCCCGAAAUGUUUUUAGGAACAGCGUCGGGAAUUGUAUGACGGAGGUAGAGCUACCGAUAGGACUAGGGGGAGUCAAAUCCUACCAAAUCCUGACGAACUCCGAAUGCCGUCAUAUAGAACCGGCAGUGAGGGCUGGGGUGCUAAGGUCCCAGUCCGAGAGGGAAAGAACCCAGACCUUCCGCUAAGGUCCCCAAAUCUAGAUUAAGUUGAACAAAGGUGGUCCAGUUGCAGAGACAGCCAGGAGGUUAGCUUGGAAGCAGCUAUUCCUUUAAAGAGUGCGUAACAGCUCACUGGUCGAGCGACAGGGCGUCGAUAAUAAUCGGGCAUCAAAUCUAGUACCGAAGCGAAGGAUUGCAGCAAUGCAGUGGUAGGGGAGCAUUCCAACGGCGGCGAAGGUAUCCUGUAAGGGGUGCUGGAGCUUUUGGAAAAGCAAAUGUAGGCAUAAGUAACGAUAAGGCGGGCGAGAAACCCGCCCACCGUAAGACCCAGGUUUCCUGAUCAACGUUAAUCGGAUCAGGGUUAGUCGGGGCCUAAGGCGAACCCGAGAGGGGUAGUCGAUGGACAAUGGGUUAAUAUUCCCAUACUAUUCAUACAGGUGACGGAGUGACGGAGUGAUGAAAGAUCCGCCCGGUGACGGAAUACCGGGUUAAAGCGUGUAGGUAUUGGGGCUAUAGUUAAAUGCGUAGCCCUAGCCGAACGUGACAGUACCGAGCGUCUUCGGACAAUCGGAUAGUGAUCCUAAGGGCUUCCAAGAAAAACUUCUAGCGCUAAGCGUAUGAGUACCCGUACCGCAAACCGACACAGGUGGUCGAGGAGAGAAUCCUAAGGUGCUCGAGUGAAUCAUGGCUAAGGAACUCGGCAAAAUGGCCCUGUAACUUCGGGAGAAGGGGCGCCCCUGUAACAGGGGGCCGCAGUGAAGAGGCCCAGGCGACUGUUUAACAAAAACACAUGGCUUUGCGAAGUUUCAAGACUAAGUAUAAGGCCUGACACCUGCCCGGUGCUGGAAGGUUAAGAGGGGAUGUUAGCGCAAGCGACGCAUUGAAUCGAAGCCCCAGUAAACGGCGGCCGUAACUAUAACGGUCCUAAGGUAGCGAAAUUCCUUGUCGGGUAAGUUCCGACCUGCACGAAUGGUGUAACGAUCUGGGCGCUGUCUCAGCCAUGAGCUCGGUGAAAUUGUAGUCACGGUGAAGAUGCCGUGUACCCGCAACGGGACGGAAAGACCCCAUGCACCUUUACUGCAGCUUAGCAUUGGUACUGGGCAAACGAUGUGUAGGAUAGGUGGGAGACAGUGAAGCGGGCACGCCAGUGUCUGUGGAGUCGCCGUUGAAAUACCACCCUUUGUUUGCUUGGUAUCUAAUCCGCCGAGGCGGAGACAUUGCUUGGUGGGUAGUUUGACUGGGGUGGUCGCCUCCAAAAGGAUAACGGAGGCUUCCAAAGGUUCCCUCAGUACGCUUGGUAACCGUACGAGGAGUGCAAUAGCAUAAGGGAGCUUGACUGUAAGGCCGACAAGCCGAGCAGGGUGGAAACACGGGUAUAGUGAUCCGGCGGUUCUGAAUGGAAGGGCCGUCGCUCAAAGGAUAAAAGGUACGCUGGGGAUAACAGGCUGAUCUCCCCCAAGAGCUCAUAUCGACGGGGAGGUUUGGCACCUCGAUGUCGGCUCGUCACAUCCUGGGGCUGGAGAAGGUCCCAAGGGUUCGGCUGUUCGCCGAUUAAAGUGGCACGCGAGCUGGGUUCAGAACGUCGUGAGACAGUUCGGUCCCUAUCUGUUGCGGGCGUGGGAAGUUUGCGAGGACCUGACCUUAGUACGAGAGGACCGGGUUGGACUGACCGCUGGUGUACCGGUUGUGGUGCCAACUGCACUGCCGGGUAGCUACGUCGGGAAGAGAUAAGCGCUGAAAGCAUCUAAGUGCGAAACUCCCCUCAAGAUGAGACUUCCAUAUAGGGCCGUCAGAGACGAUGACGUUGAUAGGCUGCAGGUGUAAAGUCAGCAAUGGCAUAGCUGAGCAGUACUAAUUGCCCGAAAGCUUACCUACGGAUUGUUACAGUUUCUACCAGAUAUGUUAAAGACAUAAGAUAUUAGAUACAAGACGCUAGAAGCGAGAAACAAGACAGCAUAAAAUUCUGAUCUCUUGAUUCUUGACUCUAAAAGUCUUGCAAGAUUUAGGCGGCCUAGCGCAGGGGUCCCACCUCUUCCCAUCCCGAACAGAGAAGUUAAGCCCUGCAGCGCCGAUGGUACUGGGGUUACUCCCGGGAGAGUAGGUCGCCGCCACAUUAUUCAAAGCCUUCAG
rnacentral:rRNA from 1 species